rnacentral:lncRNA from 1 species
GCAGAGAUUAGGUUUGCAGUAGGUGCGAUAACCUCCCCCGGCCGCUCCCGUACGGCAGCGCCCUUCCUCGCGCCGCGGGCACGCAGCAAGCGGGGCCGCUCGCCUUUCCCGGGGGGUCACUGGCCUCCAGGCAUUUCCAAGGAACUACUGCAAGGAGGCGACCGCCACCCAGGGGAAAAGCACCUGGAUUUUUGGGAAUCACAAGGGAUACGCUCGGCACUGGCGCCUCCACAUGGGGCUGCCCGUGCCAUCGCUCCCUGCGCGGCCUCCUGGGAUGAAUGGUUGCUCCGGUGGUUUCUCUGGACUGCGUCCGGGGGAGCCGUGGAGGCGGUAGCACCUCUGGACACGGAAAGGCUAUCUACAAAGUCGUGCAACCAAAAUGAAGCCAGAGGUGGUGGGACCAACCCUGUUGGCUGCAGGAUUGCAUUUAGUCCUACUUCUCUGCCUCCAUCUCCUUGGUCUCCAGAUGGGACAAAGGGAUCGACAGGCUUCGUUAUAGGAAACCCCUUUAAAAUAUCCCAAACAUAUCACAUCUUUUUGAAAAGAAACAUUUUUAAACUCUGAUUUUCAACAUCAGAUAGAGCUGGGACCAGCUCCUGCCGUUGCCUCCCACGCUGGUUGCUGGCCGCAGGAUGUGCAGGGCGUUCGGGGAGGCAGGACGGCGGGUCCCUGGUUGGGGGAGACCCCAACUGCAACGCUUAACUCAGCUCUCGUUGAAAGCAGAAAUAACCGUCCUAACUGGAUCUGAUUGCAGGGAGUGUUUUUGACUCUCCUCACAUCUCACAGGGAUGUCUGAUUAAGAUCAGCUGGAUGUUUAAAAAGAUGGGCUAGUACAGCAGUUUCUUGUUAAAAAUUACAGUAAAGGUCGUGUGCCUUAGAUCAUUGUUUUCAUUAUACCAGCUGUACCGCGCCAUACAUUUCCCAUUUCGCUGUAUUACCCACGGGGGAGUAAUUAUGGUUUUCUUCCAAGAAAUGCGUGUGUCAUCUGGUGAUCCCAAAAAUAAAUAAUAAUUGGGAGGGGGGAGGGGGGAGACA